rnacentral:rRNA from 1 species
GUUAAGCGACUAAGCGUACACGGUGGAUGCCCUGGCAGUCAGAGGCGAUGAAGGACGUGCUAAUCUGCGAUAAGCGUCGGUAAGGUGAUAUGAACCGUUAUAACCGGCGAUUUCCGAAUGGGGAAACCCAGUGUGAUUCGUCACACUAUCAUUAACUGAAUCCAUAGGUUAAUGAGGCGAACCGGGGGAACUGAAACAUCUAAGUACCCCGAGGAAAAGAAAUCAACCGAGAUUCCCCCAGUAGCGGCGAGCGAACGGGGAGCAGCCCAGAGCCUGAAUCAGUGUGUGUGUUAGUGGAAGCGUCUGGAAAGGCGUGCGAUACAGGGUGACAGCCCCGUACACAAAAAUGCACAUACUGUGAGCUCGAUGAGUAGGGCGGGACACGUGGUAUCCUGUCUGAAUAUGGGGGGACCAUCCUCCAAGGCUAAAUACUCCUGACUGACCGAUAGUGAACCAGUACCGUGAGGGAAAGGCGAAAAGAACCCCGGCGAGGGGAGUGAAAAAGAACCUGAAACCGUGUACGUACAAGCAGUGGGAGCACGCUUAGGCGUGUGACUGCGUACCUUUUGUAUAAUGGGUCAGCGACUUAUAUUCUGUAGCAAGGUUAACCGAAUAGGGGAGCCGAAGGGAAACCGAGUCUUAACUGGGCGUUAAGUUGCAGGGUAUAGACCCGAAACCCGGUGAUCUAGCCAUGGGCAGGUUGAAGGUUGGGUAACACUAACUGGAGGACCGAACCGACUAAUGUUGAAAAAUUAGCGGAUGACUUGUGGCUGGGGGUGAAAGGCCAAUCAAACCGGGAGAUAGCUGGUUCUCCCCGAAAGCUAUUUAGGUAGCGCCUCGUGAAUUCAUCUCCGGGGGUAGAGCACUGUUUCGGCAAGGGGGUCAUCCCGACUUACCAACCCGAUGCAAACUGCGAAUACCGGAGAAUGUUAUCACGGGAGACACACGGCGGGUGCUAACGUCCGUCGUGAAGAGGGAAACAACCCAGACCGCCAGCUAAGGUCCCAAAGUCAUGGUUAAGUGGGAAACGAUGUGGGAAGGCCCAGACAGCCAGGAUGUUGGCUUAGAAGCAGCCAUCAUUUAAAGAAAGCGUAAUAGCUCACUGGUCGAGUCGGCCUGCGCGGAAGAUGUAACGGGGCUAAACCAUGCACCGAAGCUGCGGCAGCGACGCUUAUGCGUUGUUGGGUAGGGGAGCGUUCUGUAAGCCUGUGAAGGUGUACUGUGAGGUAUGCUGGAGGUAUCAGAAGUGCGAAUGCUGACAUAAGUAACGAUAAAGCGGGUGAAAAGCCCGCUCGCCGGAAGACCAAGGGUUCCUGUCCAACGUUAAUCGGGGCAGGGUGAGUCGACCCCUAAGGCGAGGCCGAAAGGCGUAGUCGAUGGGAAACAGGUUAAUAUUCCUGUACUUGGUGUUACUGCGAAGGGGGGACGGAGAAGGCUAUGUUGGCCGGGCGACGGUUGUCCCGGUUUAAGCGUGUAGGCUGGUUUUCCAGGCAAAUCCGGAAAAUCAAGGCCGAGGCGUGAUGACGAGGCACUACGGUGCUGAAGCAACAAAUGCCCUGCUUCCAGGAAAAGCCUCUAAGCAUCAGGUAACAUCAAAUCGUACCCCAAACCGACACAGGUGGUCAGGUAGAGAAUACCAAGGCGCUUGAGAGAACUCGGGUGAAGGAACUAGGCAAAAUGGUGCCGUAACUUCGGGAGAAGGCACGCUGAUACGUAGGUGAAGCGACUUGCUCGUGGAGCUGAAAUCAGUCGAAGAUACCAGCUGGCUGCAACUGUUUAUUAAAAACACAGCACUGUGCAAACACGAAAGUGGACGUAUACGGUGUGACGCCUGCCCGGUGCCGGAAGGUUAAUUGAUGGGGUUAGCGCAAGCGAAGCUCUUGAUCGAAGCCCCGGUAAACGGCGGCCGUAACUAUAACGGUCCUAAGGUAGCGAAAUUCCUUGUCGGGUAAGUUCCGACCUG